rnacentral:rRNA from 1 species
AAACGAUGAACACUCGCUGUUGGCGGUACACAGUCAGCGGCUAAGCGAAAGCGUUAAGUGUUCCACCUGGGGAGUACGCCCGCAAGGGUGAAACUCAAAGGAAUUGACGGGGGCCCGCACAAGCGGAGGAGCAUGUGGUUUAAUUCGAUGAUACGCGAGGAACCUUACCCGGGCUUGAAAGUUAGUGAAUUAUCUAGAGAUAGAUAAGUGAGCAAUCACACGAAACUAGGUGCUGCAUGGCUGUCGUCAG